GACGAACGCUGGCGGCGUGCUUAACACAUGCAAGUCGAACGGAAAGGCCCUGCUUUUGUGGGGUGCUCGAGUGGCGAAUGGGUGAGUAACACGUGAGUAACCUGCCCUUGACUUUGGGAUAACUUCAGGAAACUGGGGCUAAUACCGGAUAGGAGCUCCUGCUGCAUGGUGGGGGUUGGAAAGUUUCGGCGGUUGGGGAUGGACUCGCGGCUUAUCAGCUUGUUGGUGGGGUAGUGGCGUACCAAGGCUUUGACGGGUAGCCGGCCUGAGAGGGUGACCGGCCACAUUGGGACUGAGAUACGGCCCAGACUCCUACGGGAGGCAGCAGUGGGGAAUAUUGCACAAUGGGCGGAAGCCUGAUGCAGCAACGCCGCGUGCGGGAUGACGGCCUUCGGGUUGUAAACCGCUUUCGCCUGUGACGAAGCGUGAGUGACGGUAAUGGGUAAAGAAGCACCGGCUAACUACGUG
rnacentral:rRNA from 1 species